AUGCAGAUGGUUUCGGGUGGGCGCACGACCGUUAACAUCAACGGGGAGAUUGGUCCCUACUUCCCCACGUUCUGUGGGGUGAGACAGGGUGACCCUUUUUCCCCGUUCUUAUUUACUAUGGUGGUUGAUGCUCUUGCGGCCAUCCUGGACAAGGCCAAGGCUGCUGGUCAUAUUCGUGGGAUCACCCCUCACCUGACCGGUGGCACUGGCAUCUCCUUGCUCCAGUACGCUGACGACACCAUCAUCAUGGUC
rnacentral:rRNA from 1 species